GAAGAGAAACAGAGCUUGUGACCAGUCAAAUGGACAUAGGCUGAGAUAUCUGACUGCAGGAAUGAGAGUUAGACCACACAGGGAUUUCCUAGUUAGACAAUCUCAGCUGAGGACAUAGCCUUUCCUGAAUUCUCUUACGUCUUGAAUAACGCUGGAUGUUUAAUGGUGGAGCACUCAACAGAAAACCAAGACCUAGAAGUGAACACAAAUUUUCUCUGUGUGUGCUCCUGUCUAAAAGAAGAGGAAACUCUGGUAGAUGUAUGGCUAGAAAAUAUGAAGAGGACUCUCAGGAUGCUAUUUGUCCCCAUGAAGAUAUUGGAGAGGGGUUAUGAUAGCAAAGAUUA